ensembl:lncRNA
AUGACAGUGGUCUCUUACAUAAAUCACCAAGGUGGGCUGUCAUCGACGCGUCUCUUCAGACUAACGUCACGACUGCUGGAAUGGACCCAGAGCAACUUGAGGUCCCUGAGAGCAGUGCAUCUACCGGGCAAACUGAACAAGGGUGCGGAUAUGCUGUCAAGAAGCGGAGUCUCCUCAGAAAAGUGGAGGCUCCACCCGCAGACAGUUCAGAAGAUAUGGGAUUUCUUUGGCAAAGCGGAAAUAGACCUCUUCGCCUCAAAAGACAACUCCAAGAUCUUCUUCUUCAACUUCCAAGAUCGAGGACGCGUUGUCCCAGGACUGGCCCAACCGUCUUCUUUACGCUUUUCCUCCGGUUCCUCUGAUUCCCCAAGUAAUCAGGCGGGUCAAGGACCAGAGAUGCAGGGUUCUUCUUGUAGCCCCACUCUGGGAAAAUCAGCACUGGAUCGCCGACCUGUCACAGAUGCUGACGGCGGCCCCAUGGCCCAUUCCUCUGAGACGGGACCUCCUUUCUCAGGCGGACGGAACAAUUUGGCAUCCGCACCCAGAGAUGUGGUCUCUGCACCUUUGGUCGCUCGACGGGAACCCACGGGACUCCCUGAGCGUGUGCUAAACACAAUUUCACAGGCUAGAGCUCCGUCUACACGACGCCUCUAUGCCUCUAAAUGGUCUGUGUUCUCCACAUGGUGCUCAGACCAUGGCGAAAACCCGACCUCCUGUGACGUAUCAGUGAUACUGUCAUUUUUACAAGACCUCUUGGAGAAGGGACGAUCCCCCUCCACGCUCAAGGUCUACGUAGCGACUAUAGCGGCGUCACACACCCUUAUAGCAGGCCAGUCGGUGGGCAGAAACGACUUAGUCGUCCGACUUAUGAGAGGUGCCAGAAGGCUUCAUCCGCCUUGCCCUCCCACUGUCCCUUCAUGGGACCUGCCCACGGUACUGAGAGCCCCAAAGAGGGCCCCCUUUGAACCGCUACAGUCCAUAGGCCUUAAGGCCCUGUCGCUAAAGACCGCUCUGCUGUUGGCACUAGCGUCUGUUAAGCGUGUGGGCGAUUUGCAAGCACUCUCGAUAAGCCCUAAUUUCCUAGAAUUUGGGACUAACGACUCAAAGGUCGUCCUGAAACCAAGGCAUGGCUAUGUACCAAAGGUCCUCUCCACACCUUUCAGAGCACAAGUGGUCACGCUCUCUGCAUUACAAAACACAGAGGACGAUCGAGAGCUGAAUCUGCUUUGCCCAGUGAGGGCUCUAAAAGUCUACAUAGAGCGUUCUGCGCCGAUAAGGCGAUCAGAGCAGCUCUUCAUAUGCUUUGGAAACCGCACCAGAGGGUUACCGGUCUCAAAGCAAAGGCUUUCGAAGUGGAUUGUGGACGCAAUCCAGCUAGCCUACUCUUCUUUGGGCCUACAAAGCCCAAUUGGAGUAAGAGCCCAUUCGACGAGGGCAGUGUCUUCGUCCUGGGCAUGGUCUAGUGGCGUGACUAUCGCAGAAAUGUGUGAGGCGGCUGGUUGGAACUCGCCGUCCACAUUUGCUAGAUUUUAUAAUCUAGACGUCCCAGCACUUCAUGCUAGAGUACUUUCUGUGUAA